GACGAACGCUGGCGGCGUGCUUAACACAUGCAAGUCGAACGAAGUGGCGCACGGGUGAGUAACGCGUAAUCCACCUGCACUUCAGAGGGGGACAACAGUUGGAAACGACUGCUAAUACCGCAUACUGAAGGAGGGGAUUGCGUCUGAUUCGCUGGUUGGAGGGGUAACGGCCCACCAAGGCGAUGAUCAGUAGCUGGUCUGAGAGGAUGAACGGCCAAAGUGGGACUGAGACACGGCCCAGACUCCGACGGGAGGUAGCAGUGGGGAAUCUUCCGCAAUGGAGGAAAGUCUGACGGAGCAACGCCGCGUGAGGGAUGACGGCCUUCGGGUUGUAAAGCACUGUUAAUCGGGACGCGGUACCGGAAUAGAAAGCACCGGCUAACUACGUGCCAGCAGCCGCGGUAAUAC
rnacentral:rRNA from 1 species